rnacentral:lncRNA from 10 species
UAUCUCUCAGCUAUUGUUCAGCAUAAACAGAAGGCGAAGUAGAUGCUGACCUGUCUGUAGCUGCAUGUGCAUUCUCCAGUUCCACUGUGAGCACCACCAAGACCUAUCUACUUCUUGGAUCUCUUUGCUUUUAGUUUGGAGCAUCCUUCACACUUCAUAGAAUUCUUCUCUCUUCCAUAUUUCAGAGUAAUGAAUUGGGAAAUAAGACAAGAACUAAGGCAGACAAGAAAUCUAAGUAUCACCUACAUAAUCGAUAGAGAUUGAUUGUUCACAUCACUUGUGAUCUCAAGCGAUCUCUAUGGAAUCAGUUGCAUUAUCUGCCACAAAUCAUCAUGUCAGCAGGGUUUUCAUUCUCAGUCAAAAUUACAGACUUCUUACCUAUUUGUGGGGAAAGUGAACACAGGAGUGUGCUGAUGAGUUUCAAAGCUGAACACAUUGAUUCAUUUCCAGGGAAGAAAAAGCAGCUACCUGGUGAUUACCACAGAGGGGAUUUCGAUCAGCAUGGUGAGAGGAGUGAUUGCAUUUCCUCCGCAUCCACUCAGUCUUCCCUUUGGCUUUUGAGAUAUGCAGAGGACUGAAAGGCAAGCGAAGUGAUGGCUUCCCUGACUCAGCCCUUUGGGUACCUCUUUACUUUGGAUAGAACUGGGACUUUAGGAAUGAGAUGCUUCUCACUGAUUUCAUGAAACACCAUCUUCUCAAA